rnacentral:rRNA from 1 species
CAAGCAGUGGGAGCCUUCGUAAGAGGGUGACUGCGUACCUUUUGUAUAAUGGGUCAGCGACUUAUAUUCUGUAGCAAGGUUAACCGUAUAGGGGAGCCGAAGGGAAACCGAGUCUUAACCGGGCGUUAAGUUGCAGGGUAUAGACCCGAAACCCGGUGAUCUAGCCAUGGGCAGGUUGAAGGUUGGGUAACACUAACUGGAGGACCGAACCGACUAAUGUUGAAAAAUUAGCGGAUGACCUGUGGCUGGGGGUGAAAGGCCAAUCAAACCGGGAGAUAGCUGGUUCUCCCCGAAAGCUAUUUAGGUAGCGCCUCGUGAACUCAUCUCCGGGGGUAGAGCACUGUUUCGGCUAGGGGGCCAUCCCGGCUUACCAACCCGAUGCAAACUGCGAAUACCGGAGAAUGUUAUCACGGGAGACACACGGCGGGUGCUAACGUCCGUCGUGAAGAGGGAAACAACCCAGACCGCCAGCUAAGGUCCCAAAGUCAUGGUUAAGUGGGAAACGAUGUGGGAAGGCCCAGACAGCCAGGAUGUUGGCUUAGAAGCAGCCAUCAUUUAAAGAAAGCGUAAUAGCUCACUGGUCGAGUCGGCCUGCGCGGAAGAUGUAACGGGGCUAAACCAUGCACCGAAGCUGCGGCAGCGACGCUUAUGCGUUGUUGGGUAGGGGAGCGUUCUGUAAGCCUGCGAAGGUGUGCUGUGAGGCAUGCUGGAGGUAUCAGAAGUGCGAAUGCUGACAUAAGUAACGAUAAAGCGGGUGAAAAGCCCGCUCGCCGGAAGACCAAGGGUUCCUGUCCAACGUUAAUCGGGGCAGGGUGAGUCGACCCCUAAGGCGAGGCCGAAAGGCGUAGUCGAUGGGAAACAGGUUAAUAUUCCUGUACUUGGUGUUACUGCGAAGGGGGGACGGAGAAGGCUAUGUCGGCCGGGCGACGGUUGUCCCGGUUUAAGCGUGUAGGCUGACUUUCCAGGCAAAUCCGGAAAGUUAAGGCUGAGGCGUGAUGACGAGGCACUACGGUGCUGAAGUGACAAAUGCCCUGCUUCCAGGAAAAGCCUCUAAGCAUCAGGUAACAUCAAAUCGUACCCCAAACCGACACAGGUGGUCAGGUAGAGAAUACCAAGGCGCUUGAGAGAACUCGGGUGAAGGAACUAGGCAAAAUGGUGCCGUAACUUCGGGAGAAGGCACGCUGACAUGUAGGUGAAGCCCCUGCGGGUGGAGCUGAAGUCAGUCGAAGAUACCAGCUGGCUGCAACUGUUUAUUAAAAACACAGCACUGUGCAAACACGAAAGUGGACGUAUACGGUGUGACGCCUGCCCGGUGCCGGAAGGUUAAUUGAUGGGGUUAUCGCAAGAGAAGCUCCUGAUCGAAGCCCCGGUAAACGGCGGCCGUAACUAUAACGGUCCUAAGGUAGCGAAAUUCCUUGUCGGGUAAGUUCCGACCUGCACGAAUGGCGUAAUGAUGGCCAGGCUGUCUCCACCCGAGACUCAGUGAAAUUGAACUCGCUGUGAAGAUGCAGUGUACCCGCGGCAAGACGGAAAGACCCCGUGAACCUUUACUACAGCUUGACACUGAACAUUGAGCCUUGAUGUGUAGGAUAGGUGGGAGGCUUUGAAGCGUGGACGCCAGUCUGCGUGGAGCCGACCUUGAAAUACCACCCUUUAAUGUUUGAUGUUCUAACCUGGCGCCGUGAUCCGGCGUGGGGACAGUGUCUGGUGGGUAGUUUGACUGGGGCGGUCUCCUCCCAAAGUGUAACGGAGGAGCACGAAGGUCAGCUAAUCCUGGUCGGACAUCAGGAGGUUAGUGCAAUGGCAUAAGCUGGCUUGACUGCGAGAGUGACGGCUCGAGCAGGUGCGAAAGCAGGUCAUAGUGAUCCGGUGGUUCUGUAUGGAAGGGCCAUCGCUCAACGGAUAAAAGGUACUCCGGGGAUAACAGGCUGAUACCGCCCAAGAGUUCAUAUCGACGGCGGUGUUUGGCACCUCGAUGUCGGCUCAUCACAUCCUGGGGCUGAAGUAGGUCCCAAGGGUAUGGCUGUUCGCCAUUUAAAGUGGUACGCGAGCUGGGUUUAGAACGUCGUGAGACAGUUCGGUCCCUAUCUGCCGUGGGCGCUGGAGAAUUGAGGGGGGCUGCUCCCAGUACGAGAGGACCGGAGUGGACGCAUCACUGGUGUUCGGGUUGUCAUGCCAAUGGCACUGCCCGGUAGCUAAAUGCGGAAGAGAUAAGUGCUGAAAGCAUCUAAGCACGAAACUUGCCCCGAGAUGAGUUCUCCCUGAGACUAUAAGUCUCCUGAAGGAACGUUGAAGACGACGACGUUGAUAGGCCGGGUGUGUAAGCGCAGCGAUGCGUUGAGCUAACCGGUACUAAUGAACCGUGAGGCUUAACCUU